UCUUUGCUAGUAUAUCGGUUAGUACACGCGCCUGUCAUGCAGUUUGGUGCGCGCGAAAGCUGGGUUCGACUCCCAGGCAGAGAG